AGGAAAGCAAGUGACUAAAUAGACUAAGAACAAGGAUCUGCGAAUCGUGUAACAUCACAUACGCAAAGAAAAGUAGCCUGUGGCAAAGAAAACACAUUGUCACCAGCUAAGAGAGCUGCUGCUGGACGGAAGGCUCUAAUGGCUUUGCUAGAGCUUCUGAGGAAUCCACGUUAACCUCCUGCUCAGUCUUUUGUGGAAGAGAUUAACCACAAGAGCAGCACCAUCGGCCCAGCCCCACUUUGCAGACAGCUGCCUGUGUGGACAGACUCAGUUUGAACCCAGACUUGUGUCCCGCUGGAGACUCCUCUGAAGGCCGCGGCUGAGUCAGGCUUUUUGAAGCGACCAUGCUUUCCGGAGCUCACCGAUUACUGAAGCUGUCUACUGAUGAGGACGUCCUGAUUCCCCGAAGCUGAGGUCGUGAACUUAGAGCAUAUUUUUAAAACUGUGUUAGAGAUCAUUUCAACAUUCAUGUGGGGAUGAGAAAAAAAAAUUUGACGAAUAAUUUAAAUGGUUACAUCUUGGCCCUGCCUAGGAUUGUGGAUUCAACCACAGUAUGACAAUGGGAUUACUGUGCAUGGUAUAUUUAAAUUCACCCCACAAAUGGCCUUGUUUUUUUAAAGGGACAGUCUCAUUCUAGAAUUAGAAAGAAAAAUGCUUUGGAAACCCAAAGAUCUCGCAAGCAUGUUCAGACAUUACUUCAUUGGCCCCUGUAGCCCCUUUCUAUCUCCCUUUUGAUUCGGUUCAGAUGCUGUGGCAAAGGAGGGUGCUGGGCCAAGGCCAGCCCCCUGCCAAUGCAGAGGUGUGCCUCAAAGAGGAUGGCACACACCCUGUGACAGCCGAGAGAAAACAGUGGUUGGCAGUUUGGUGUGGGAUUGGCAGCUGCCUUCCUUCUGUCCCUGGGGGUGCCAAAUGGGGGCAGGAGAGAAGAAGACUUUCAGAGCCGACUCAGUGAUCUGAUGGCUUGGUGACUCAGAGCCCAGAAGGCCCUGGGAGCCCCUGCCGACCCCCUCCUUGGGGGGCCAGUAAGGGCAUUUGGGAAAGGGCUCCAGGCCCUCAGUCAUCAUUUCAAAGCAAUCAGCCCCGAUUUUAUCUCCCUAAACUGUAACCCAACCUCCUGCUUCUACACACGAGGAAAAUGAGUCCCAAGGGAGUAAAAGGCCCCACCUAAGGUCACGAGGGGAGUAGUAGCAAGCCAAACCUCUUGGUCCCAAAAAACUGGGCAGGGAGGAAAAAUUGAGCAAGCAGGAGAAGGGAGAGAAAGAGAAGAAAAGGACAGAAGGAGAAAAUAAAGUGUUGGAUGUGUAGGACGUUUUUGCGUUCCUGACCAUGAUCUGCAGCCUGCUCACCACCCUGCAUGUGGCCUGCAUGUGACCUCACUGACCAUCCUGUGGGACACGCACCGUGGGAAGCGGCUGGAGACAUUCAAGGGAAGCAUACACCUUGGCCACUGCUCCUAUAGGAAUGGAAACUCCAGAAACGGAGCAUCACACCUGUCCCAGGCACUGUACACACAUGACCUCAUUCAAGAAAACUUGUUGCCCAUUUAGGAGUAACCUGCUCCUGCCGCUCGUGGGUUUGCUGAGGCAGGGCCCUGCUCCAUGGGCCCACCCUUCUCUGCAUCUGUGCACACCCACCUAUCCCCACAUUAUGAAUACCCACUGGGUUCCUGGCACAGGAAAGCUGGGAAGGCCUGUGAAGGCACUGGGGGAAAAAUAAAAGAAAGGGUAAUCCUAGUCAACAUGGUAAUAUUCUUCCUCUCUCUUUGCGACCUAAACAAGAAUCUUCCAUAUAGUUUAAAAAACAAAAC
ensembl:lncRNA